AGAACGCUUUGGCCUAGGAUCAUGAAACUUCAUAGGUACAUUGAUCAUGACUUGCAGAUGACCCCUAUUGAUUUUGAGGUCACUAGGUCAAAGGUCAAGGUCACGGUGACCCGAAAUAGUAAAAUGGUUUCCGGAUGAUAACUCAAGAACGCAUACGCCUAGGAUCAUGAAACUUCAUGGGUAGAUUGAUAAUGACUCGCAGAUGACCCCUAUUGAUUUUGAGGUCACUAGGUCAAAGGUCAAGGUCACGGUGACCCGAAAUAGUAAAAUGGUUUUCGGAUGAUAACUCAAGAACGCAUAUGCCUAGGAUCAUGAAACGUCAUAGGUAGAUUGAUCAUGACUCGCAGAUGACC